rnacentral:lncRNA from 10 species
GGGGAUUGCGGCGGCAGCCGCAGGCCUAGCUGUUUAUCGACGGAAGGAUGGGGGCCCGGCCACCAAGUUUUGGGAGAGCCCGGAGACGGUGUCCCAGCUGGAUUCGGUGCGGGUCUGGCUGGGCAAGCACUACAAGAAGUAUGUUCAUGCGGAUGCUCCUACCAAUAAAACACUGGCUGGGCUGGUGGUGCAGCUUCUUCAGUUCCAGGAAGAUGCCUUUGGGAAGCAUGUCACCAACCCGGCCUUCACCAAACUCCCUAGACAGGGUUUCGCUCUGUUAUGUUGCUCAGGGUGUUCUUGUACUCCUGGCCUGAAGUGAUCCUCCUGUCCCGGCCUCUCAACGUGUUAGAAUUACAGGCAAAGUGUUUCAUGGAUUUCAAAGCUGGAGGCGCCUUAUGUCACAUUCUUGGGGCUGCUUACAAGUAUAAAAAUGAACAGGGAUGAACAAUUGUUUGACCAGACCCAACAUCUACCUCAUUCCAGACAUUGAUCUGAAGUUGGCUAACAAAUUGAAAGAUAUCAUCAAACGACAUCAGGGAACAUUUACGGAUGAGAAGUCAAAAGCUUCCCACCACAUUUACCCAUAUUCUUCCU